rnacentral:lncRNA from 1 species
UCAAAGCUCUGUCACUGUUCAACGACCAAACCCCCUUGACCACUCCACCGUCGUUCGCCGUUGAACGGCCACCGGAGGUCCACCAAGAGGCGGCGCCGCCGUUGAACCCCCUUCAUUUCAUCAUUUUUUGGGUACUUAUACAACUUUUAUUGAACUUGGUUAUAUGAUUCAUUUUGUGUGCAAUUAUUUGUUUGNAGGAGGAACUUCAAGACAUUAGGGAGAACUAUGUUUGUGAUCCUCAUAAUGUGAGGCGAAAAAGAACUCUUGCAAUAUAUUCAGUUCAUGUAUUACAUUUUGAUGAAACAAAUGUAUUAUUAAUAUUUAUUGGUAAUGCAAUUUGAACAUUACAAUGAUGAUUGUGUUAGAUUUCGUAAUGA